rnacentral:rRNA from 1 species
GAUGAACGCUGGCGGCGUGCCUAAUACAUGCAAGUCGAGCGAACAGACGAGGAGCUUGCUCCUCUGACGUUAGCGGCGGACGGGUGAGUAACACGUGGAUAACCUACCUAUAAGACUGGGAUAACUUCGGGAAACAGGAGCUAAUACCGGAUAAUAUAUUGAACCGCAUGGUUCAAUAGUGAAAGACGGUUUUGCUGUCACUUAUAGAUGGAUCCGCGCCGCAUUAGCUAGUUGGUAAGGUAACGGCUUACCAAGGCGAGGAUGCGUAGCCGACCUGAGAGGGUGAUCGGCCACACUGGAACUGAGAAACGGUCCAGACUCCUACGGGAGGCAGCAGUAGGGAAUCUUCCGCAAUGGGCGAAAGCCUGACGGAGCAACGCCGCGUGAGUGAUGAAGGUCUUCGGAUCGUAAAACUCUGUUAUUAGGGAAGAACAAAUGUGUAAGUAACUAUGCACGUCUUGACGGUACCUAAUCAGAAAGCCACGGCUAACUACGUG